GACGAACGCUGGCGGCGUGCUUAACACAUGCAAGUCGAACGAUGAAGCGGUGCUUGCACCGUGGAUUAGUGGCGAACGGGUGAGUAAUACGUGAGUGACCUACCUUUGACUCUGGGAUAAGCCUGGGAAACUGGGUCUAAUACCGGAUACGACCAAUCCCUGCAUGGGGUGUUGGUGGAAAGCGUUAUGGGGUGGUUUUAGAUGGGCUCACGGCCUAUCAGCUUGUUGGUGAGGUAAUGGCUUACCAAGGCGACGACGGGUAGCCGGCCUGAGAGGGUGACCGGCCACACUGGGACUGAGACACGGCCCAGACUCCUACGGGAGGCAGCAGUGGGGAAUAUUGCACAAUGGGCGCAAGCCUGAUGCAGCGACGCCGCGUGAGGGAUGACGGCCUUCGGGUUGUAAACCUCUGUUAGCAUCGAAGAAGCGAAAGUGACGGUAGGUGCAGAGAAAGCGCCGGCUAACUACGUG
rnacentral:rRNA from 1 species